UACGCACGCUGGCGGCGUGCUUAACACAUGCAAGUCGAACGGAAAGGCCCUGCUUUUGUGGGGUGCUCGAGUGGCGAACGGGUGAGUAACACGUGAGUAACCUGCACUUGACUUUGGGAUAACUUCAGGAAACUGGGGCUAAUACCGGAUAGGAGCUCCUGCUGCAUGGUGGGGGUUGGAAAGUUUCGGCGGUUGGGGAUGGACUCGCUGCUUAUCCGCUUGUUGGUGGGGUUGUGGCUUACCAAGGCUUUGACGGGUAGCCGGCCUGAGAGGGUGACCGGCCACAUUGGGACUGAGAGACGGCCCAGACUCCUACGGGAGGCAGCAGUGGGGAAUAUUGCACAAUGGGCGGAAGCCUGAUGCAGCAACGCCGCGUGCGGUAUGACGGCCUUCGGGUUGUAAACCGCUUUCGCCUGUGACGAAGCGUGAGUGACGGUAAUGGGUAAAGAAGCACCGGCUAACUACGUG
rnacentral:rRNA from 1 species